rnacentral:tRNA from 1 species
AUUUGAAUAGUUUAAUAAAAAUAAUGAUUUGUGGGGUCAUAGAUAUAAUAUGGUGUUAUUUUAAAUU